AAAGGAUUCUCCAGCUUUCCGUUGCACAAACAGUGAAGUGACAGUUCAACCCAGUCCCUAUCUGAGUUACCGACUUCCCAAGGACUUCGUAGACCUGUCUACUGGGGAGGAUGCUCACAAACUCAUAGAUUUUCUUAAACUGAAAAGAAAUCAGCAAGAGGACGACUGAUUAGAGUGCCAGAGUUAAGUCCGAGGUAAAGAGGAAACCACCUUGGCAUCAGGAGGCUUCUCUGAGCUCACAACUUCCUGUUACCCCACUUGGGUUGGGGUGGGAGGCAGAGUGAAAUCAAUAGCUUUUUAUAUCCAUGUGUAUUAAGCUGGAAAAAAAUGGAGGGACUUUGCUACUUGUAAAAAUAAAUAAUAAAUAGAUCUUAAAUAUAGGAAACCAUAUUGUUCUGAUGAUAAAAUACCUUCUCUGAAAUAC